UUCUAAAUUCAUCCAAUUCAUUCAGUUGCAGAAGACGCUUUUCUCCGACGGCAUUCAAGUCCAUAUUUAACUGUUUCAUAGCCCAAUAUGCCCGAUGCUUCAUUUCUAAUGGCAGAUGACAUGCUUUCCCAAAGACUAGGCGGUAUGGAGACAUGCCGAUCGGGGUCUUGAAUGCUGUUCUGUAAGCCCAUAAUGCAUCG
rnacentral:lncRNA from 1 species